UACGGGGGGAGCAAGCGUUGUUCGGAUUUACUGGGCGUAAAGGGCGCGUAGGCGGCCACCGCAAGUCAGUUGUGAAAUCUCUGGGCUUAACCCAGAACGGGCAGCUGAUACUGCGGGGCUAGAGUGCAGAAGGGGCAACUGGAAUUCUCGGUGUAGCGGUGAAAUGCGUAGAUAUCGAGAGGAACACCUGCGGCGAAGGCGGGUUGCUGGGCUGACACUGACGCUGAGGCGCGAAAGCUAGGGGAGCGAACGGG
rnacentral:rRNA from 1 species